GGGAUUCGAAGCGUGAGUUCGACUUGGGCUGGUUUGGGAUGGGGUUGACCGACCCGAUCUGAAGCCCCACCCACCACGGAAGGGAAAAUGAGAAACACCACCAUGCAAGCUCCGCCGCUGUCUCCCUGUACGAGAGCCGGAAGUAGAAUGACAAGGGCUUGGCUAUGGUCUCAUGCCUCUCCGCCACUGCCGCUUCCCGUCUCAAUUGCACUUCUUCCCUUCAGUUCCAGAACAGCAAGGAUCCAAUACCGAGUAGUAGAAGGAAUCGCGAAAAGCGCCUCGUUUGGACGUCCCCUCCAACUUUAACUUCCAUUCGGAUGUCAAAGAUUCCAGCUUUUCAUGGAUACGAGGUUUUCAUGAAAGCAUUGAGCUGAGUGGAGAUGCCAUUACAUUGCUAUCAUUGUUUAUUUUGCAUCUUAAGGUCCACCAAUAAUUGCAAUAAAGCUUAGUCAGAGGUGAAAGAAAGGAAGUGGUUCUAAAGACAGAUUUUUUGAGUUCUAGCGCCCAAAUGGAUGCGUGAGGGGUAGGAUGUGGCCACCAGCUAAAAAGUGGCAAUGCCAUUGGUGGUUUCUGGCUUUCUGCCAUCACCAAGCUACAGGGAAAGGAAGUGUUAUGCGCCCAUUAUCUUUCAGAAUAUUGGAGGAGUUGAGGCUGUCAGCAAGUGACCAGAGAACAAAUCAUAACCAUUUCUUUCAGGCUUCAGCUCUCCUGAUUCUUGCCCUGCCCAAGCCCGCUGUUUCACCAAGAAGGCCUCUAUGAGUUGGGGAGUGCUGCUCAUGAACAAAAGCCAAGAUAGAUUUUCCAACUCCAAGAUUGACAGGAAGGGUUAUUCAAGUGCUGCUGAAUCCACUGGAUAUGGAAUUUAACCCUAUGGGCAGACUAAUUUCACCAGAUCCAACAAAAGCACAAUGAUGGUGCCAACUUGGAGGAUAAUGUGGUGCAGGACCACCUGAUCCUAGUCAGAGAUAAGUACAGAUCAAAAGAAUCUCAAAGGUGGAUCAUUUGAUGAUUUUGUUCUCCCCCAUCAAUGUCUAAGUGAAAGAAACAAGCGCACAACCAGUCUCGAGAUGGAAUUAUUGCCAUGCAAAUCUGCUUGUUGCAACAACCACCGUUGAAUCCCUGCUGACAAAUUCAUCUCAUUGGUGCUUUUGCAAAUGUGAUGGUGAGGUUUCACCUCUGUCAUCCAAAUGAACAUGAGAUCGCAUGGCCUUUUCUCCAUCACCAAUAAGACGGACAUCUAAAGUUCGCAUGGGGAACAGAGUUUCUUGUUGAAGUAUUGGAAUGAAAUCGCUCCUGUACUCGAUGAGACCUCUGUAAAGUUACAUCCAAUUGACAUUUGCAGGGAUAUAUGGAACUCAAUUCGGAUAGUAUUUGCUACAACAAACACAUAGUGCCAAACUGAAAGCUUUCUUGUUAAUCUAUUCUGAGAAAGACAUGG